CAGUAAGUAGUUUAAGUUAAAACUUUAGUUUUGGAGACUAAUGAUGGAUAUUGACCUUUACUGA
rnacentral:tRNA from 1 species